rnacentral:rRNA from 1 species
UACGUAGGGUGCAAGCGUUAAUCGGAAUUACUGGGCGUAAAGCGUGCGCAGGCGGUCGUGCAAGACAGAUGUGAAAUCCCCGGGCUUAACCUGGGAACUGCAUUUGUGACUGCACGGCUGGAGUGCGGCAGAGGGGGAUGGAAUUCCGCGUGUAGCAGUGAAAUGCGUAGAUAUGCGGAGGAACACCGAUGGCGAAGGCAAUCCCCUGGGCCUGCACUGACGCUCAUGCACGAAAGCGUGGGGAGCAAACAGG